AACCUGGUUGUUGUUAUAAUUAUACAAAAUGUCUUUUUUUGUUGUUGUUUGUAUUGCUCUCUACCUGACCGAAAAGCUGUCAUUGUUUUGAAUGUGUUACUUUAAGAACAGUAGCCCCUCCUUUUUAUUUCUUCUUCUAUGGUUUUGUCUUUAAAAUGUUUGCGUCCCUUAGGCCCUCCCCUUUUGUCAUGUUGUCCUGCGGGAGAGGACUUGGAGCGGGCAGCUUGUAACUAUUGUUUUUCUGUUGGAUAUUUUCGUCAGAAUAAAUCUUUGAAAGCCAAA